rnacentral:rRNA from 1 species
GGUUGUAAACCUCUUUUAGUAGGGAAGAAGGGAGCUAUGCUCUUGACGGUACCUGCAGAAAAAGCACCGGCUAACUACGUGCCAGCAGCCGCGGUAAUACGUAGGGUGCAAGCGUUGUCCGGAAUUAUUGGGCGUAAAGAGCUCGUAGGCGGUUUGUCGCGUCUGCUGUGAAAUCCCGAGGCUCAACCUCGGGCUUGCAGUGGGUACGGGCAGACUAGAGUGCGGUAGGGGAGAUUGGAAUUCCUGGUGUAGCGGUGGAAUGCGCAGAUAUCAGGAGGAACACCGAUGGCGAAGGCAGAUCUCUGGGCCGUAACUGACGCUGAGGAGCGAAAGCGUGGGGAGCGAACAGGAUUAGAUACCCUGGUAGUCCACGCCGUAAACGUUGGGCGCUAGAUGUAGGGACCUUUCCACGGUUUCUGUGUCGUAGCUAACGCAUUAAGCGCCCCGCCUGGGGAGUACGGCCGCAAGGCUAAAACUCAAAGGAAUUGACGGGGGCCCGCACAAGCGGCGGAGCAUGCGGAUUAAUUCGAUGCAACGCGAAGAACCUUACCAAGGCUUGACAUACACCGGAAACGGCCAGAGAUGGUCGCC